GAUGACGAGUGGCGGACGGGUGAGUAAUGCUUGGGAACUUGCCUUUGCGAGGGGGAUAACAGUUGGAAACGACUGCUAAUACCGCAUAAUGUCUUCGGACCAAACGGGGCUUCGGCUCCGGCGCAAAGAGAGGCCCAAGUGAGAUUAGCUAGUUGGUAAGGUAACGGCUUACCAAGGCGACGAUCUCUAGCUGUUCUGAGAGGAAGAUCAGCCACACUGGGACUGAGACACGGCCCAGACUCCUACGGGAGGCAGCAGUGGGGAAUAUUGCACAAUGGGGGAAACCCUGAUGCAGCCAUGCCGCGUGUGUGAAGAAGGCCUUCGGGUUGUAAAGCACUUUCAGUUGUGAGGAAAAGUUAGUAGUUAAUACCUGCUAGCCGUGACGUUAACAACAGAAGAAGCACCGGCUAACUCCGUGCCAGCAGCCGCGGUAAUACGGAGGGUGCGAGCGUUAAUCGGAAUUACUGGGCGUAAAGCGCACGCAGGCGGUUUGUUAAGCUAGAUGUGAAAGCCCCGGGCUCAACCUGGGAUGGUCAUUUAGAACUGGCAGACUAGAGUCUUGGAGAGGGGAGUGGAAUUCCAGGUGUAGCGGUGAAAUGCGUAGAUAUCUGGAGGAACAUCAGUGGCGAAGGCGACUCCCUGGCCAAAGACUGACGCUCAUGUGCGAAAGUGUGGGUAGCGAACAGGAUUAGAUACCCUGGUAGUCCACACCGUAAACGCUGUCUACUAGCUGUGUGUGCCUUUAA
rnacentral:rRNA from 1 species